rnacentral:rRNA from 1 species
UACGAAGGGGGCUAGCGUUGCUCGGAAUCACUGGGCGUAAAGCGCACGUAGGCGGGUCCUUAAGUCAGGGGUGAAAUCCCGGAGCUCAACUCCGGAACUGCCUUUGAUACUGGGGAUCUUGAGUCCGGAAGAGGUGAGUGGAACUCCGAGUGUAGAGGUGAAAUUCGUAGAUAUUCGGAAGAACACCAGUGGCGAAGGCGGCUCACUGGUCCGGUACUGACGCUGAGGUGCGAAAGCGUGGGGAGCAACAGG